CCUACGGGAGGCAGCAGUGAGGAAUAUUGGUCAAUGGACGCGACCCUGAACCAGCCAAGUAGCGUGAAGGAUGACGGCCCUAUGGGUUGUAAACUGCUUUUAUAAGGGAAUAAAGUGAGGCACGUGUGCCUUUUUGCAGGUACCUCAUGAAUAAGGACCGGCUAAUUCCGUGCCAGCAGCCGCGGUAAUACGGAGGAUCCGAGCGUUAUCCGGAUUUAUUGGGUUUAAAGGGAGCGUAGGUGGGUUGUUAAGUCAGUUGUGAAAGUUUGCGGCUCAACCGUAAAACUGCAAUUGAUACUGGCAGUCGUGAGUACAGUUGAGGUAGGCGGAAUUCGUGGUGUAGCGGUGAAAUGCUUAGAUAUCACGAAGAACUCCGAUUGCGAAGGCAGCUUACUAAACUGUCACUGACGCUGAGGCUCGAAAGUGUGGGUAUCAAACAGGAUUAGAUACCCUGGUAGUC
rnacentral:rRNA from 1 species